rnacentral:rRNA from 1 species
CCCUUAUUCCAUGUUGCCAGCACGUAGUGGUGGGGACUCAUGGGAGACUGCCGGGGUCAACUCGGAGGAAGGUGAGGACGACGUCAAAUCAUCAUGCCCCUUAUGUCUUGGGCUUCACGCAUGCUACAAUGGCCGGUACAAUGGGUUGCGAUACUGUGAGGUGGAGCAAAUCCCAAAAAGCCGGUCUCAGUUCGGAUUGGGGUCUGCAGGUCGACCCCAUGAAGUCGGAGUCGCUAGUAAUCGCAGAUCAGCAACGCUGCGGUGAAUACGUUCCCGGGCCUUGUACACACCGCCCGUCAAGUCACGAAAGUCGGUAACACCCGAAGCCGGUGGCCUAACCCUUGUGGGGGGAGCCGUCGAAGGUGGGACCAGCGAUUGGGACUAAGUCGUAACAAGGUAGCC